rnacentral:rRNA from 1 species
GACGAACGCUGGCGGCGUGCCUAACACAUGCAAGUCGAACGAAGCUCCCUUAAUUGAGAUUUCGGUCAAGAGAGAGGGAUGACUUAGUGGCGAACGGGUGAGUAAUACGUGAGCAACCUGCCUUUCAGAGGGGGACAACAGUUGGAAACGACUGCUAAUACCGCAUGAAAUAUCGAGGGGGCAUCCUCUUGGUAUCAAAGAUUUAUCGCUGAAAGAUGGGCUCACGUCUGAUUAGUUAGUUGGUGGGGUAAUGGCCUACCAAGACUGCGAUCAGUAGCCGGGUUGAGAGACUGAACGGCCACAUUGGGACUGAGAUACGGCCCAGACUCCUACGGGAGGCAGCAGUGGGGAAUAUUGGGCAAUGGGGGAAACCCUGACCCAGCAACGCCGCGUGAAGGAAGAAGGCUUUCGGGUUGUAAACUUCUUUUGUCAGGGACGAAUAAAUGACGGUACCUGAAGAAUAAGCUCCGGCUAACUACGUGCCAGCAGCCGCGGUAAUACGUAGGGAGCAAGCGUUGUCCGGAAUGACUGGGCGUAAAGGGCGCGUAGGUGGCCUAAUAAGUUUGGAGUGAAAGUCCUGCUUUCAAGGUGGGAAUUGCUUUGAAAACUGUUAGGCUUGAGUGUGGGAGAGGAUAGCGGAAUUCCCGGUGUAGCGGUGAAAUGCGUAGAGAUCGGGAGGAACACCAGUGGCGAAGGCGGCUAUCUGGACCAAGACUGACACUGAGGCGCGAAAGCGUGGGGAGCAAACAGGAUUAGAUACCCUGGUAGUCCACGCCGUAAACGAUGGAUGCUAGGUGUAGGAGGUAUCGACCCCUUCUGUGCCGCAGUAAACACAAUAAGCAUCCCGCCUGGGGAGUACGGCCGCAAGGUUGAAACUCAAAGGAAUUGACGGGGGCCCGCACAAGCAGCGGAGCAUGUGGUUUAAUUCGAAGCAACGCGAAGAACCUUACCAGGUCUUGACAUCGAUGUAAGCCAGAAGAGAUUCUGGGUGUUUUCGGACAACAGAAGACAGGUGGUGCAUGGUUGUCGUCAGCUCGUGUCGUGAGAUGUUGGGUUAAGUCCCGCAACGAGCGCAACCCUUGCGAUUGGUUGCUAACAGGUGAUGCUGAGAACUCCAAUAGGACUGCCGGGGACAACUCGGGGGAAGGUGGGGACGACGUCAAAUCAUCAUGCCCCUUAUGACCUGGGCUACACACGUGCUACAAUGGCCACUACAGAGAGGCGCGAAGUCGUAAGGCGGAGCAGAUCUGAUAAAAGUGGUCUCAGUUCGGAUUGAGGGCUGCAACCCGCCCUCAUGAAGUCGGAGUUGCUAGUAAUCGCGAAUCAGCAUGUCGCGGUGAAUACGUUCCCGGGCCUUGUACACACCGCCCGUCACACCAUGGGAGUUGGGAGCGCCCGAAGUCGGUGAGGUAACCGCAAGGAGCCAGCCGCCGAAGGUGAGACCAAUGACUGGGGUG